GGCGCUAUAGUGUAGUGGUUAUCACUUGGGAUUCUGAUGUCGCAUGUUCCCAAAACCCAGGUUCGAGCCCUGGUAGCGCCU
rnacentral:tRNA from 2 species